UCCAGCAGCCAUAUGACCCUGCAGCUCACAACUGACACCCCACUGAAGUUAAAGCAGGUUUGAGUCUAGACAGUACCUGGAUGGGAUACCUCCUGGGAAAAACUAAGGUUGCUGAUGGAA
rnacentral:rRNA from 1 species